UACGUAGGUGGCAAGCGUUGUCCGGAAUUAUUGGGCGUAAAGAGCGUGUAGGCGGCUUGUUAAGUCUUGCGUGAAAUCUCGGGGCUCAACCCCGAGCGGUCGUGAGAAACUGGCAGGCUAGAGCGCGGGAGAGGAGAGUGGAAUUCCUGGUGUAGCGGUGAAAUGCGCAGAUAUCAGGGAGAACACCCGUGGCGAAGGCGGCUCUCUGGAACGCAACUGACGCUGAGACGCGAAAGCGUGGGGAGCAAACAGG
rnacentral:rRNA from 1 species